rnacentral:tRNA from 1 species
GGGCCCGUGGCUCAGGGGCUAGAGCGUCCGGCUGAUAACCGGGAGGUCGGGGGGUUCGAGUCCCCCCGGGCCCA